AACGAACGCUGGCGGCGUGGAUAAGACAUGCAAGUCGAACGGGACUUGAUCUGUAGCAAUACAGGUUAAGUCUAGUGGCGAACGGGUGCGUAACACGUGGGCAAUCUGCCGAGAAGUGGGGGAUAGCUCGCCGAAAGGCGAAUUAAUACCGCAUAUGAUCAGGAAGACAUCUUCCCAACAUCAAAGCCGGGGUAACCUGGCGCUUCCUGAUGAGCCCGCGGCCAUCAGCUAGUUGGUGAGGUAACGGCUCACCAAGGCUAUGACGGGUAGCUGGUCUGAGAGGACGACCAGUCACACUGGAACUGAGACACGGUCCAGACACCUACGGGUGGCAGCAGUCGAGAAUUUUUCUCAAUGGGGCAACCCUGAAGGAGCGACGCCG
rnacentral:rRNA from 1 species